CUGUAAUAUCAUAUAAAGAGAGUUCACUCUUAUUAUCAAAAGCAAGCUAAUGUAAUAUAUUUCUUUCCCCAGAAACACCCUAGACAUAAAUCAAUCUUCAAUUGGUAGUGAUGCAAUUCAAAAUCAAGCUACUAAAAUUGAAAAGUUUCUAGAAAGAGAGAUUCGUUUAUAUUACCUUAUAAAAAGAAACUUUUUGAAAAAAUAUAUUAUGCAAAUCCAUUGCAUUCAAUAUAAGUACAUACAAAACAUUUGCUAAAAGUUUAGAAGAUAUUUGUUAACUCUACUUAAAUUUUAAGAAUCUCUCAGCUCUUAAAAUUAUUAAAUUCCAUUCAAAUUCUUGUUCCAAUAACCCCCCUUAAUUGCAAAACAAAAUCCAAAAUCAUCUUCUUCUUUUUGCCAACUCUACCUACGGGCUUCGAAUAAAAGAGGGUAAAACUCAUUCCAAUGAAGAGAAUGAUAAACGUCCAGGAGAGGAUAUAAAAUAUGUAUACAAAAUAUAUAUGUUUCUACAAUCCAUAUAAAUGAAAACAUGCUAUGUAUAUAGUAACAGAAAAAGGCAAAAAGAAUACAUAAAGAUGAAAUAAUAUAGUCAUGGUUCUUAUAACUAGUAAAAUAUUUUGUGACACUUUUAUCAUCAAACGAGCAAGAUCAUCAUACUAGCAAACACAAAAAUGGAUGACUACACAAUAAUUCGAGAUCAUUAGAGUUUUUUUUUAUCAAAAGAAUAUGUAAACGUUGUAAAAAAAAUGUAACCAGUUUUUUUAUUACUUAUUUAGUUGAAAACAAUGAAACUUCCUACGAAAUUUCCACAUUAUACAAAACAACCAAUGCGUCUAAUGCAUACUAAUACAACCAAUGAGCUGAUAGUGCAAAACUUCUUUCUCCUUUUUCUCUCACCAGAAAAACCAGAGCGAAGUCCUGUAGAGAAUUCCUGGAGACCGAAAGCUCUAGAUGUCAAGACCUUCUCUCGCGUGAUCUCUCUCUUCUCUCUCUCCCCGCACCAUCACUUCUCUCUCCUCGCUGCGAGCCCGAGUCGCAUGUCCUCUCUUCCGGUCGCCGUUGGUGAGCAGACACUGAGCCCAAGUGGUUAUUGUUGUUCUUACAUGCCCCUUGUUCCCUUAUCUCAGAUCUGUUCAGAUGUACUUUCAGGUUGAUAGAUCAUAACGGAUGCUAGGAUGGUAGCUGGAUGAAUCAUGUUGCAUAAGAACGUCCAUAUUGUUAAAGGACCAAAUGGACUGACUUGUGUUGAUGCGAUUGAUUGGUUGUUUGUAUGGAUUGAUUGAAUGAAUGGUUGCUACGUUUUCUUGA